GCACUCGUAGCUCAGCUGGAUAGAGUACCCGGCUACGAACCGGGCGGUCGAAGGUUCGAAUCCUUCCGAGUGCGCCA
rnacentral:tRNA from 1 species